GAUGAACGCUGGCGGCGUGCCUAAUACAUGCAAGUCGAGCGAAGCGGGGACGGGGGCGUAACACGUGGAUAACCUCCUAUAAGACUGGGGUAACUUCCGGAAACCGGUGCUAAACCGGUUACUUAUAGAUGGAUCCGCGCUGCAUUAGCUAGUUGGUUGGGUAACGGCUUACCAAGGCAACGAUGCCUAGCCGACCGUAGAGGGUGAUCGGCCAGACGGGAACUGAGACACGGUCCAGACUCCUACGGUAGGCAGCAGUAGGGAAUAUUCCGCAAUGGGCGAAAGCCUGACGGAGCAACGCCGCGUGAGUGAUGAAGGUCUUCGGAUCGUAAAACUCUGUUAUUAGGGAAGCGUUACCUAAUCAGAAAGCCACGGCUAACUACGUGCCAGCAGCCGCGGUAAUAC
rnacentral:rRNA from 1 species